rnacentral:rRNA from 1 species
GGCCGCGGGAAUUCGAUUAGAGUUUGAUCAUGGCUCAGGAUGAACGCUGGCGGUAUGCCUAACACAUGCAAGUCGUACGAGAGUUUUUAACUCUAGUGGCGGACGGGUGAGUAACACGUGAGAAUUUGCCUUUAGGAGGGGGAUAACAAUUGGAAACGAAUGCUAAUACCCCAUAUGCUUUUAAGUAAAAUGGAUUUUAUCCGCCUAAAGAGAAGCUCGCGGCUGAUUAGCUUGUUGGUAAGGUAAAAGCUUACCAAGGCGACGAUCAGUAUCUGGUUUGAGAGGACGAUCAGACACACUGGAACUGAGACACGGUCCAGACUCCUACGGGAGGCAGCAGUGGGAAUUUUCCGCAAUGGGCGAAAGCCUGACGGAGCAAUACCGCGUGAGGGAAGAAUGCCUAUGGGUUGUAAACCUCUUUUUUCAGGGAGGAAUAAAAUGACGUGUACCUGAAGAAUAAGCAUCGGCUAACUCCGUGCCAGCAGCCGCGGUAAGACGGAGGAUGCAAGUGUU